rnacentral:rRNA from 1 species
AGAGUUUGAUCAUGGCUCAGGACGAACGCUGGCGGCGUGCUUAACACAUGCAAGUCGAACGGAGAUUAAGGAAUUAGUUUACUAAUACUUUAAUCUUAGUGGCGGACGGGUGAGUAACGCGUGGGUAACCUACCCUUAAAACCGGGACAACAGCUGGAAACGGCUGCUAAUACCGGAUAAUCUUCUAGUUCGGCAUCGAACUAGGAGGAAAGGUGGCCUCUGAAUAUGCUACCGAUUAAGGAUGGACCCGCGUCUGAUUAGCUAGUUGGUAGGGUAGAGGCCUACCAAGGCGACGAUCAGUAGCCGGCCUGAGAGGGUGACCGGCCACACUGGGACUGAGACACGGCCCAGACUCCUACGGGAGGCAGCAGUGGGGAAUCUUCCGCAAUGGGCGCAAGCCUGACGGAGCAACGCCGCGUGAAUGAAGAAGGCCUUCGGGUCGUAAAGUUCUGUUGAAAGGGAAGAAGUCUGUGUGUGUGAAUAAUGCAUACAGGUGACGGUACCUUUUGAGGAAGCUCCGGCUAACUACGUGCCAGCAGCCGCGGUAAUACGUAGGGAGCGAGCGUUGUCCGGAAUUACUGGGCGUAAAGGGCGCGUAGGCGGGAUAUUAAGUCAGGUGUGAAAACGUAGGGCUUAACUUUACGAUUGCACAUGAAACUAAUAUUCUUGAGGACAGGAGAGGAAAGCGGAAUUCCUAGUGUAGCGGUGAAAUGCGUAGAUAUUAGGAGGAACACCAGUGGCGAAGGCGGCUUUCUGGACUGUAACUGACGCUGAGGCGCGAAAGCGUGGGUAGCGAACGGGAUUAGAUACCCCGGUAGUCCACGCCGUAAACGAUGGGUACUAGGUGUAGGAGGUAUCGACCCCUUCUGUGCCGUAGUUAACACAAUAAGCACCCCGCCUGGGGGAGUACGGCCGCAAGGUUGAAACUCAAUGAAUUGACGG